GGAGGGUUGCCUGAGUGGUCGAAAGGGACCGCCUGCUAAGCGGUUGUAGGGGGAAUAACCCCCUACCCCGGGUUCGAAUCCCGGACCCUCCGCCA
rnacentral:tRNA from 1 species